AGUGAACGCUGGCGGUAGGCCUAACACAUGCAAGUCGAACGGCAGCACAGGAGAGCUUGCUCUCUGGGUGGCGAGUGGCGGACGGGUGAGGAAUACAUCGGAAUCUACCUUUUCGUGGGGGAUAACGUAGGGAAACUUACGCUAAUACCGCAUACGACCUACGGGUGAAAGUGGGGGACCGCAAGGCCUCACGCGAUUAGAUGAGCCGAUGUCCGAUUAGCUAGUUGGCGGGGUAAUGGCCCACCAAGGCGACGAUCGGUAGCUGGUCUGAGAGGAUGGUCAGCCACACUGGAACUGAGACACGGUCCAGACUCCUACGGGAGGCAGCAGUGGGGAAUAUUGGACAAUGGGCGCAAGCCUGAUCCAGCCAUACCGCGUGGGUGAAGAAGGCCUUCGGGUUGUAAAGCCCUUUUGUUGGGAAAGAAAUCCUGUCGAUUAAUACUCGGUGGGGAUGACGGUACCCAAAGAAUAAGCACCGGCUAACUUCGUGCCAGCCGCCGCCGUAACAC
rnacentral:rRNA from 1 species